CCUACGGGCGGCAGCAGUGAGGAAGAUUGGUCAAUGGGCGCGAGCCUGAACCAGCCAAGUAGCGUGAAGGAUGACUGCCCUACGGGUUGUAAACUUCUUUUAUAAAGGAAUAAAGUGAGGCACGUGUGCCUUUUUGUAUGUACUUUAUGAAUAAGGAUCGGCUAACUCCGUGCCAGCAGCCGCGGUAAUACGGAGGAUCCGAGCGUUAUGCGGAUUUAUUGGGUUUAAAGGGAGCGUAGAUGGGUUGUUAAGUCCGUUGUGAAAGUUUGCGGCUCAACCGGAAAAUUGCAAUUGAUACUGGCAGUCUUGAUUACAGUUGAGGUAGGCGGACUUCGUGUUGUAGCGGUGUAAUUCUUAGCUCUCACG
rnacentral:rRNA from 1 species